rnacentral:lncRNA from 1 species
GACCGUCUCACUGCUGCCCCCGGUGGCCGACGGCGGCUGGCACCGGGUGGUGCUCGUGCUCAGCAGCGCGGUCCCGGUCAACUGGGCCCUGUCUGUCCCUGGCGUGCGAGGGCGCAUCACCGUCUAUGCGUCCAACAGCGUGACCCCUCUUCACCCCCAAAAGCCUGAUCUCACCAUGAGCAGCGUCCUCAGCAGCGAACUCCUCACUGUCCAGGACCCGCUGCGGUGGACCAACGAGAACGGCUUUCCGAAGGUCACGUCGUACACGGAAGCCGACUUGGCCAACCGCUUCGUGGUCAGGCUGGCGGGGGGCCGGACAGGUCAGGACUCGUCUUGUAGAUGCUGAAUUCCACAUGAUGUCCAUGAAAGACGGUGACCUGCGUCCCUCCCUCAGGCCACCCGGCCGCCGCGCUGCCCCUGUGGCUGCAGAAGCUGCGACUGAGUGGCGGCGGCGACCGGGCCGUGGCGGAGGCGGUCAGCGUCCGGUGUCACGAUGGCCGGCUCUCCGUGGCCUUGGACCGGCACGUCCUGCAGACCCUGACCAUCACGGUGGCCGCCGCGACCCUGCGCGACCCUCACUGCCGGGCGCAGUCCAACGGCAGCCACUUCCUGCUGGCCUUCCCGGUCAUUUCCUGCGGGACGGAGGGGCUGCUGGAGGGCAGCAGCAGGGGCGUGCAGUACCAAAACACGGUGUUGCUCUGGAGUCAGGAACCGACCGGCAGCCUGAAGAACGUCACCACAGAGUCACGGCAGCAGGACCCCCGGUCCCCACUGGCCAUACAUAUCAGAUGCGUGGCUCCAGCCCCUGCAGCGCCCGCAUCAUCAGACGGGGAGGUGGGGGCGCGGCGUGACCGGGGUCCCCCCUGGGCACCCGGAUCCCGGGCCACUCCUCUGCUCACCCUGCAGCUCUUCGUGACGGAGCAUUACGAGAACAGGCCGUCGGGGCCCUGUGUGAUCACAGCAGAGAACCGCGUCUACGUGGAGGUGUGUGUGUAUAUGUGUGUAUGUAUGUGUGUAUGUGUGUAUAUGUACAGUAUGUCUGUGUGUAUAUGUGUGUAUAUGUGUGUAUGUGUAUGUAUGUGUGUAUAUGUACAGUAUAAGUGUGUGUAUGUGUGUGUGUGUAUGUAUGUGUAUAUAUGUGUGUAUGUAUGUGGUGUGUGUAUGUAUGUGUGUAUGUAUGUAUCUGUGUGUGUGUGUAUGUAUGUGUGUAUAUGUGUGUGUGUGUAUGUAUCUGUGUGUGUGUAUGUAUGUGUGUAUGUGUGUGUAUGUAUGUGUGUUGGUGUGUGUAUAUGUGUGUAUGUGUGUGUGUAUAUGUGUGUGUGUGUGUGUAUAUGUAUGUGUGUGUGUGUGUGUGUGACUUGCUUCUUGUUUUAUCUGCUGCUCUGUGUUGUUAUUACGUCCCCGUCUGGUUUCUGCUCGGCGUCCGUUACUUGUUUGCUACCAGAUCUCCGCCCAGACGAGCUUCACCGGCGGGGUGGAGGUCCUGUGGUGCGUCGUCUCGCCCCUGUCUAACCCCCGAGCCUCCCCUGGUUGGCCGGUCAUCGCGAGCGGCUGCUCCAUCGACCCCUCGCUCAUCCUGACCCCGGCGAAGAAGGCGGGGGGUGACGAGGACGCGCCGGGAGCGGGGCGUGCCGGGGAGGACGAGCCCUCCAGACUGCGCUUCAGCUUCAUCCUGAGGCCGGUCUACAACAACUCCAUCCAGUUCCUCCACUGCGGCCUUCGCCAGUGCAGCUUCGCGGCCCAGGAGGCCACGGUGCCCAGGGUCUGCCAGCGGGGCGUCCCCAUCCCAGGACUCGGAGCGCGGCGCGCCAGGGAGGAGGUACGAAUUCAGGAAGUUCCUCCAUGCUGGAGGUGAAAGUAGAAAAGCUCUCCCUCUCUUUUACAGUGCGAAUGGAGGAAUCUGUCUCGGCCCAUGCUGGUCACGUCUCCCAUGGUGCUGAUCGGACG